rnacentral:lncRNA from 1 species
UUCUUCUAUAAUAAAAUGCUAAUUAAAGGAGUAUUACACACAAACUCACACAACUAUAUGUUGAUAUUUACCUUAUGUUUUGAAACUGUUUAUUGCUAUAGACACUGAUACAGAGCACUUCCCAAAUGCUGUUGGAAGGAGUAUGCUGAAGAGUGGUAUCAAGACACAAUCCAAGAGUCAUCCUGGUAAAACAACUGAUAAAAAAUACAUGACAGAUACUGUUGAAAGUGAAAAAGAAACUAGUAAAAUCAAGAUACAUCAUAAAAGUCACCCUGGUAAGAACAAGAAUUUGUCAAGUCUAAUAUUUAUGGGUUAUGUCUUCUCUGUGAUUUAACUAACGAUAGCAAUAACUAUGUUAAUGGUGAGUAAUCUUCAUAAAUUUCAUCUUAUAAUUAGUAUUAAAGUCUUGUAUUUGCUGUCAAUGGAAAUUUACCUAGAUAUUGUUUAGUUGUAAGCUCAUACAUUUGGAAAGUAAUUCAUAUAAUCCAAUGCUCUAAUGACCUUAGAAUAUUCUUGGUUUAAGUAUUUCAAACUGCUAAUCUACUCACUUUCUUGCUGGCUUAGAAAAG